rnacentral:rRNA from 1 species
AGGAAUAUUGGUCAAUGGACGAGAGUCUGAACCAGCCAAGUAGCGUGAAGGAUGACUGCCCUAUGGGUUGUAAACUUCUUUUAUACGGGAAUAAAGUUAGCCACGUGUGGCUUUUUGUAUGUACCGUAUGAAUAAGGAUCGGCUAACUCCGUGCCAGCAGCCGCGGUAAUACGGAGGAUCCGAGCGUUAUCCGGAUUUAUUGGGUUUAAAGGGAGCGCAGGCCGUCCUUUAAGCGUGCUGUGAAAUGCCGCGGCUCAACCGUGGCACUGCAGCGCGAACUGGAGGACUUGAGUACGCACGAGGUAGGCGGAAUUCGUGGUGUAGCGGUGAAAUGCUUAGAUAUCACGAAGAACUCCGAUUGCGAAGGCAGCUUACCGGAGCGCAACUGACGCUGAGGCUCGAAAGCGCGGGUAUCGAACAGGAUUAGAUACCCUGGUAGUCCGCGCGGUAAACGAUGGAUGCCCGCCGUUGGGUUUUAGAAUUCAGCGGCCAAGCGAAAGCGUUAAGCAUCCCACCUGGGGAGUACGCCGGCAACGGUGAAACUCAAAGGAAUUGACGGGGGCCCGCACAAGCGGAGGAACAUGUGGUUUAAUUCGAUGAUACGCGAGGAACCUUACCCGGGCUUGAAUUGCAGGAGAACGAUCCAGAGAUGGUGAGGCCCUUCGGGGCUCCUGUGAAGGUGCUGCAUGGUUGUCGUCAGCUCGUGCCGUGAGGUGUCGGCUCAAGUGCCAUAACGAGCGCAACCCCUGUCCAUAGUUGCCAUCAGGUCGUGCUGGGCACUCUGUGGAGACUGCCGCCGUAAGGUGUGAGGAAGGUGGGGAUGACGUCAAAUCAGCACGGCCCUUACGUCCGGGGCUACACACGUGUUACAAUGGGGCAUACAGCGAGUUGGAUGUGCGCAAGUACGUCCGGAUCAAUAAAGUGCCUCUCAGUUCGGACUGGGGUCUGCAACCCGACCCCACGAAGCUGGAUUCGCUAGUAAUCGCGCAUCAGCCAUGGCGCGGUGAAUACGUUCCCG